rnacentral:rRNA from 1 species
CGUGGCACAUAGCUCAGUAACACGUGGCCAAGCUACCCUUCAGUCGGCAAUACCCUCGGGAAACUGAGGCUAAUAGCCGAUACGAAACAGACGCUGGAAUGCACUGUAUUCCAAAGACACCGCUGAAGGAUGCGGCUGCGGCCGAUUAGGUAGACGGUGGGGUAACGGCCCACCGUGCCAGUAAUCGGUACGGGUGAUGAGAGUCAGAGCCCGGAGACGGAAUCUGAGACAAGAUUCCGGGCCCUACGGGGCGCAGCAGGCGCGAAACCUUUACACUGCACGAAAGUGCGAUAGGGGAAUCCCAAGUGCGAGGGCAUAUUAGCCCUCGCUUUUGUUGACUCUAAGGCGGUCAACGAAUAAGAGCUGGGCAAGACCGGUGCCAGCCGCCGCGGUAAUACCGGCAGCUCAAGUGAUGUCCCAUAUUAUUGGGCCUAAAGCGUCCGUAGCUGGCCGACCAAGUCUAUCGGGAAAUCCACCUGCCCAACAGGUGGGCGUCCGGUAGAAACUGGCCGGCUUGGAACCGGAAGGCUCAGAGAGUACGUCCGGGGUAGGAGUGAAAUCCCGUAAUCCCGGACGGACUACCGAUGGCGAAAGCACUCUGAGAAGACGGCUUCGACAGUGAGGGACG